rnacentral:rRNA from 1 species
CCCCUAGAUGUUCUGGGCCGCACGCGCGCUACACUGAACAGUUCAACAAGCCUUAACCUUGGCCGAUAGGUCUGGGUAAUCUUUGAACGCUGUUCGUGAUUGGGAUAGACCUUUGCAAUUAUGGGUCUUCAACGAGGAAUUCCUAGUAAACGCAAGUCAUCAGCUUGCAUUGAUUACGUCCCUGCCCUUUGUACACACCGCCCGUCGCUCCUACCGAUUGAAUGGUCCGGUGAAGCGUUCGGACCGUGGCCUUUGGACGGUUCGCCGUCUGUUGGCUGCGGGAAGUUCGUUAAACCUUAUCAUUUAGAGGAAGGAGAAGUCGUAACA